rnacentral:rRNA from 1 species
CGGUGGUCGGAAGUGGGAAGAGAAUCCCGGGAACGGGGCCGUCCCGCUUCUCGCCYUCUGCCGUGCCAGACGCAUUUGUCUCUCGUCCGAAGGACGCCGCAGCCGGUUGGGCAGUGCAAGCGUGACGGCCUGAAGGGCGGGUGAUGGCAGGUGGCCGGUGGCGCGCUUCGGCGCUUCGCCGGUUGUUAGCCGUCCCGCCAGUGGCCCGUCGCUCGACCGAGGUGUCACGAAGCCAUCAUUGGCCCGCACGUCUCCUCCCAUGGAUGUCGGGACAGACUGUCGCAGGUGCAGUCCGCCACCCCGUCGCACUCCUCCGGAGUGGUCGGGCGAACGGAAAGYUCCGUUGGSGACGGCGGGUCCGUCGGAAGCUGGAGGCUAGCGGCGAGUAGGUCGGUCACCCACCCGACCCGUCUUGAAACACGGACCAAGGAGUCUAACAUGUGCGCGAGUCAAUGGGUCUUGAACAGGCCCAGGGGCGCAAUGAAAGCGAAGGUCGGCGCACGUCGGCCGAGUUGGGAUCCCCUCCUCGAGGGGGGCGCACCAACGACCCGUCCUAUCCGCACGUCGGUUGGGCGGCGUGUGAGCGCACACGUUGGGACCCGAAAGAUGGUGACCUAUGCCUGGACAGGACGAAGCCAGGG